rnacentral:tRNA from 1 species
UGGGGUAUAGCCAAGUGGUAAGGCAGCGGGUUUUGAUCCCGCCAUGCCCAGGUUCGAAUCCUGGUACCCCAGCCA